UUAUCGGGUCCGCUUCGUUCGGCUCCGCUCGCUAUCCCGCGCCAGUGUUUUUUCUUUUCUCCCCGUGUAGCUUCUUCUGUCUCUUUCCUCGCCGCUCGACCCCCUUGUCAUUUCGAACAUGUAAUCCGGAACAGAGGCGAGUGAGAGAGAUCGCCAUGGCGAUUUGGAGCUGCCCCUCGCCUGAUUGGUUUUGUUAAAAGCCUAAUCUGUCGAUUUUGUUCGUCUGAUUUGGUAUGUUCCAUCCCUUUGUUUGUUCCUCAGAUCUGCUUGUUAGUGCUUAGGGUUUUCUCGGUCAGAUCCGUUGCUUGUGUUAAUCUCCCACAUCCUCUGCUGUAGAUGUGUGAGGUUGCGUCGUUUCUGGGAUUGAAACUCGUCUGCCAUGCGAAUUUGAUUAGGCUUUUUGUUUACUUGUUAGUUUGAUUGAUCUGUAUGUGUGUCACGCCUUCACCUGCGUCGGCUAUGAUUAAUCUGUAUGUGUGUCACGCCUUCACCUGCGUCGGCGCCGGUGGACAACGAGUCGCCUGAACUUGAUGAUCCAGACGAUGGCGCAGAACACAACAGUCAGACAUGGUUGCAGAGGGUGAAGCCUCGAGUAGGUGUGGUGGGCUGACUGGUGUGCCCACGUGACAGGGUGUGUGUGCUCUGUAUAUUAGCUGGACAUGCGUGAGUUAAGUCUGAACCGUCUCUCCUGUUCUCUGAACCUCUCCCAACUCUCCUCUCCAUAUCCUAUCCUCCCCAAAUCCCUCUUGUAUUUUGUGAGAUCUAUCAUGAGAUGGGGCAUGACAUUGUGGUUACUUGUUUGAAUUCGGCUGGUUGUUUGGUUGAUCUGUAUGCGAUAUUGUGCAAUCUGAACAUAGUGGAUCGUGUUCAGUCCCCUGCUCUCAAGUGUUGUUAGUUAGUGUAUCUAUGUGUUAAUUUUCCCCUGGGCCGUUUUUUGUUGUCACUGUGUGGAUGUAUGGUUGGUCCCCUGGUUGCCUUGGGAUUGUCUCUGUAAUUCUCAUCGGAUUUACAGUGUAAUUCCUAUUGGAUUUGCAGUGUAAUUCCUGUUUGGUUUUGCAGUGUAAUUCCUAGUGGACUUACACUGUACCUCUCGCUGGGUUUACAAUGUAUUUCAUCGGAUUUAUACUGUAUUUGUCAUUGGAUUUACAGUUGGUUUAGAAUGUAAUUCAUUUUGGCUUUCGGUGUAAUUCCUACUGGGUUUAGAGUGUAAUUCCUAGUGGAUUUGCAUUUUGUAAUUCCCAUUUUUAGCGUGUAAGUGUUGAUGCUAGUUUGCCGUUGAAUUUCGCGUCCUUCGAGUCCAUAGCUUGAUGUAGGUUGGUCCUGCUGUAGCUCUUGAUUUUCUAAGGUUUGGAUUUUAGAUUUUAGGAACUAGAGUUUUCGGUUUACUGUCAUGAUUAUCAUUAUUUUUCUCCACAGUUUUAGUGGAUUUACACUGUAAAUCUUUAUUGGCUUUGCACUGUACUUCUUCGUGCAUUUGCACUGUAAAUGUUUGUGCUUUUGCAAUGUUAAUCUUAGUAUUUUGCAGUGUAAUUAUGACUUGUUUUGCGCUGUAAUUAUAACUGCAUUUUUGUUUGCUAGACACAAUAAUUGUUUUGUCCCAAUUUCCGUAAGUUGGGCAGUUCAGAAGUAAUUUACAGUGCUAACAAUUUAUAAUUUACAGUGGAUCUUCAGUUUCACUUCACCAUUACAGUGCUUUGAAUUCUAGUUCUUAGUUCUUAGUUUAUAGUUCCUAGUGGGUUUUACAUUGUACUCCCUCCGUCCGAAAAUACUUGUCAAGGAAAUCUUGACAAGUAUUUUCGGACGGAGGGAGUAAUUCUUAGUGGAUUUCUACUUAAAUUUUAUCGGUAUUACACUGUAAUUCUUUGCAAUCUUACAAUAAUCUUAGUGUAUAUGUUUGUUGGUUUAUAAUGUAAUCUUAGUGGAUUUAUGUAAUCUUUCUGUUUUUUCGCUGUAAACAUUAGUGGAUUUACACUGUAUUCUUGUGUAUGGCUUUGCAAAUCAAACCCAAGAGGCUUUCUUUUAGUGAAUUACUUGAAAUAAUUCUGUAUUUCGUAGUGGUUUGUCACUGUAAUUUGUAUCUCUUAUCAGUGUAAUUAUAUCGGCAUUCGUAGUGGUUUUCUGUCUGGCUCGAAGAAAUUUGAGUGCAGGUGCAUACAUACGAACCAAAUGCUAAAGAAGGGAGCAUCAAGGGGCAUGCAUUGUACCUGAAUGACGAUGAAGCAGAUUUUGUUAACAGCAGCGCAUACUCUUUUACCAAGCUACUACAUGCGCAAAUGAUGUAGAAGAUAUAAAUGCAUUGCAUAAAUCUCAUAUGCAUCAGCUAAUGAAGAAAGCAUGUUCUAUUAUGCAUUAGCUCAUGAACUAGCAUUGUUCUAUUAUGUGCAGCAACAGCAUGUGGAGCCUACGCCUGAUAUGCCAAACUACAUGGAAUGGCAGAGCACUGUUCAGGUCAUGUCUGGUGUGUUAGGAAGUAGUUUCAGUGCAAUUAUUUUUUAGUGCAGUGAAUUUUAUGGAUUACAGUGGAAUUAAUAGCUAAUGGAAUUUCGAAGUUUGAUUUAAACUGUAAUUCCUACUAAUUUUGAGUGUAAUUAUCAGUUGAUUUUCCUCUGUAAUGCUUAUUUUUGGAAUUUGAGUUUUCUUUUAGUGGAAUUACAGUGUAAUUGUUAGUGGAAUUGAAGGUGCAUAAGUUACACUGUAAUUCUGAAUUUUUUUCACUGUAAUCCGUGAUGAUUUACAGUGUAAUUAUUGAUUUUGCUCUGUAUUA